ACCGAAUCCCUCAGAUCUCCUGUCAGACCUCUCCUCUGGAGCCUAUCAGAUUCCUCACGCCUCCCCAAGGAUUCCAGACUGGGCCCUUCUUCCCGGAACCGCCACUGCUCUUCCUUCACCGGGCCUCCCACCACAAAACACACUUCCCAAUGGUAACCCCUGGCCAAGACCGGCGCCGGGUCACUCGGGAUGCCACCCUAGUCCCUUCAGAAGCAGAAGCGGAGCAACCCCUGGUCAUCUGGCGUCCCCAGGCCCUGCCUGGCUGCUCUCAGGGUGGUCUUGCCUCCCGUUCCACCGCUUGGGGCAGCCCGAUCCAACUCUAACAAUCGUGUGCAAUCCAAGACAGGCCUGGCUCUGCGGAAGCUCCACACAAGCCUUCAUCUCUCCACCGUUCUCCCAGUGCACUCUGACCUGACGUCAACCCCGCCCAGAGGCUGACCACAUCCCAGCAUCUACACUAAUUCCGUCAGGUAAACUGGCAAACACCUGUAUUUCCGGCCCUCGGGAAUGAAGCAAGAUGAUCGUGAGUUUGGAGCCAGCCUGGAAACAUAAUGAGAUCCCAUCUCAAACAAGCAAGCAAAUGAGCCCGGUGAAAGUGCAGGCUCGGAUGAUGGCCCUCGGUGAUGGUCUUGCGGAGAAUAAAGGUGAUGCGGUGAAGAGGUAGGAGCUGCUAGGACUCAGGGAACGGAGCAGCGUUUUCUGGAGAUGGGACAUCUUCAAGUUCCAGGUGCUGACCAACAUCAAGAGAGGUGAUCCCUGCCAAAAAGGUUUGGCUCGUGACUGGAAUAUAUUCGUUACAAAUUACACUUUAAAACUUUCACACAGGGGCAGCUGAGAAGGUAAAAGCACUUGCUGGGAGAGAACGGAUUCCUGAAAGGUGUCCUCUGACCUCCAUAUGUGUGAAGUGGCAUACAUACACCUCCCCCAACAUCCACACAUGCCAAAAAAAAACCACAUUGGGGAGGUUACCUUUCCCCAGUGCAGGUGGGUUUCAUCUAACUUAAACAGGGAAGUGGAAGUCUUUCUUCUACGUCUUUAUGAAUUCAUUUUAUAUAAAACAGUAGCAGCGUAGAAUGUGGGUGUUCUCUUUGCCACCUCACAGCGUGAGUUGUGAACAAAAAAGCCCGUGUACACACUUAGAAGGACGACUAAGCAGCACCGAGCAUGAACUGAGCAUGGGAACUUUUUACAAAGACAAGCAGGGUCUUCUUGAUAGUCCUCUCGCCAAAGAAGACCCAGUUUGACGCUCCGCUUGAGCUGCGCCAUCAGGAAGCGCGUCACCCCUGUAUGGCUACCCUAAGCCGGAUCACCUCUCUUGAUCAGCAUCUUGAGCCUGAAGAUGUUCCCUCUCCAGAUUGAACCUGCGGCUUCCAGAAAGCAUUCUACCAACUGAGCUACACUCCAGACCCCGAUCAUGUAACCUGAAUCUUGGUGUAGACAGGACAUGGCGUCGGGGUACUAACUAAGACUUCCCGGAGGACAAAGAGAAAAGAAUCUCAAGUCAGCUGAGGCUGGAUAUGGUGGUGGUGCCUGACACAUACCUGUGACGCCAGCAGUUGGAGGUGAAGACUGGAGGAUUGUCACAAGUUGGAGGCCAGCCUCGACGGGUGGGGAGAUGCCUAAGUGUACUUUGGGAGCCAGAGGACACCUUGCCGGGAUUGGAUCUCUUCUGGAGUUGCCUCUCCUCCUUCCACCCUUUCAGUUCCAGGGGCUGAACAAAGGUCGUCAGGGUUGACGCAAACCCCUUUAUCUGCCCAGCCUUCUCACCCUUCCCUUCCCAUCCUCUUUCAAUCCUACAGUCUUUCAGCCCUCCCCAAUCCCACAACACGGAGGUUUUCAUUUUCAGGAAACUCUUUCCUAGCUCAUGUAGCUCAGACCUGUAAUCUUAGCACUUGAGAGCCUGAGGCAGGAGGAUUGCCAUCGUAGGCCAUCUAGGAAACUCUAAGCCAGCGUGUCUACGGAGCAAGAUCCUGUUUGUAACAAAAUUCCUUCCUUCCCUGUCAGGCCUCCCUCAGGCCCUUCCAUUUUCCCAGCCACUUCUCCAGGUCAUUUCUACAGGGUACAUGUGAAAACUGAGUAAUGCUAGGACUGGAACUGCUUCUCAAAGAGUUUCCUAGUAGGGAAGGGUGCUGCUCCACCACGUAAGCUUUGAGUGGGUGCAGGCUCACCAGAGAGGACUGUUUCUUUUCAAUGCUUAUUGUUCUUACUGGCUUCUUUAUUCAAACUGCUAAAUAAAAUACUUUCAUAUUUGUAGCUCAAAGACAGACAUUACUUUUUCAGUCUAGUACAUUCUAAAGCUAUAGUGAGAAGGGAAAUAAUUCCUUAACUGCCUCCUAAUUAGCAGUGUGUCUUCCCUAUUCCCCGAGAAUCAGUAAAUCCGAUUAUUGUGGCAAGGGUAGAUGUCUGUUCCUUUCUUGAUCCCCUUUGGGGUUUGUUUGAAUAAGAAUAUGGUUGUAGUCCCUUUAAUGGCUUUGCAAUGAUGUUCGCAAGAGAGGCCUUGAUGGUUUGAUUUUAGGAAGCCUCAAUUACAUUUUUGCCAAAGGCUAAUAUCAAUUUGGGAAUGAUAUAUUCUCCCAGUUAAAUAAAAUUAAAGAUAAGUGUAUGAAGACACAGAAAAAAAAAAAAAAAAAGAAUACAAGGACAGUAAGCAAGAGAGCGUGGGUCUAAGGACAAGCUUACAAAUCAAUGGGACCGAACUCAGAGUCUAGGAAGAAGCCUUUAUAUUUAUGGCCAAUUGAUUUUUUACAAAGGUGCCAAGGCAAUUUGGUGUGGAAAAGACGGUCUUUUUUAACAAAUGGCUCCCAGAAAACUGGAUACUUACAUGCAAAAAUGUGAAUCUAGACUCAGGCCAGAAUCCACAGAGUCAGACACCACACAAGAACCAAACCUACAAAGCCAUUAGGAAAUACAAGAUCGAGUUUCCAGGACUCUGAUUAGGCAAAGAGCUCCCAGAUCUGACAACAAAAGCACAAUAAUGAAGAAAAUAGAUCUUAGACAGUCUAAGAUUAAAAAAAAAAAAAAACAAAAACAAAAACAAAAAAACAAAACAACAACAACAACAACAACAAACCACUGUCAGCUGGAUGGGCGUGGUGACAUGAGCCUUUAAUCUUAAUACUUGGGAGGCAGGAGCAGGCAGAGCUCUGUGCAUUUGAGGCCCGGUUUGGUCUACAGAGUGAGUUUCAGGCCAGCCCGAGCUACACAGUGAUACCCUGUCUAAGAGAAGAAAAAGGAUAGUUAGCCUCACCAUUAGUCAUCAGAUAAAUGCAAAGCAUGGGGACUGGGGGCUUUUGCUCAGUACAACAAUUGUCUUGUAUGCACAGCUCUGCAUGCAACCCUUGGGGGCACAGUGAAAAAGAAAGAGUGUGAAUCAAAACCACAGUGAGCCGGCACUUCAUGCCUCCCAGAACGGUUCUGAUCAAUACGACAGGCAAUAGCAGGCAUUGAUGAGGCUGUUGAGACGCCGGAGCCUUCCUCAUGCUUAGAGCUUAUGGGAAUGGAAAACGCUACGGCACUGUG